rnacentral:lncRNA from 1 species
UUAUAGCGUAAAAGCUAAAUAAAUUUAUACAUACUUAAGAAAAGUAAGCCAAAAUAUUUAAUUUAAUUUACAAUAACAAGAGGGCCCCCGAAUAAACAAAAGUAAAGAGGACUGUGAACCUACGGUUUGGAAAAUGCAGAUCCCACUAUAGUCCUCGAUGAAAUCAGCUAUCUACAGUCUACACUGAACCUGAAAUGGGUGGAAAUGAGGGUGGUGAGAUUAUAAAAUCCCAAUGAGUAAACAGACAUUAUCAUAAACAUCUAGAGUUGAGUACAUGGAGACAAUAAAGUAAAUCAUCCUAAACUGGGUUAUACAAUUAGAACACAUCUCGUUCAAAAUACGUAAAAAGGCUUAUGAAUCUCAUAAACAUUUAGGCUUGUGUCAUAAAUCCAUUCUCGGGGACACCUUGGCCGAGGCAUCCUACCGAGACCGCCAAGGCUAUUAAAAUUCACAUUUCACAUAAAUCAUGUUUUUGUUUUAAAAACAUAGUCGUUCCUUGGCGUUGGCUGAGUUCCCCCUCACGUGGUGGUUUAGCGUGAAGUGAACCCUAAACUUUACCCCAGGAGAUACCUUACGCGCCUCUCCGUUCGAGGUAAGAAUAUAAUGGGGUUUACCGUGCCCCUCUAAAAGGCUGGUCCACAGAAACCCCCUACUGCAGUGAUUAAUUAAUAUAUAAUCCACCAUAUAAUAAAACUCAAUAACAUGAUAUGACAAUUUUCAAAUUCGCAGUUUUUCAAGGUAACCAAACAAUUCGCAUUUCAAUACAAUUGCCAACUAGCCAAUCAUGCUCGAUUUAUCAUAAGCCAGUUAAUUUAAACAAUCAAAUUGCCACAAUUAACAGUCUCCGUGUACUCUAUUUUUCAAAAUCACUAUUAAUUUCAAAACAAUUUAUAAUUUAAUUUCAUUGAAACUCAUUUAUUCAUAAAACAUGAAAAUUUAUCUUUUUAAAUUCCUUUUUCCAUAGAAUUCAUGAAAGCAUCUAAAAACCACCCUAGAUAAUUAAAAUGACAGUAAGUUUACUCACAAUGUCUAGAAUGCAGACUUUCGAAGCACUCUGUCUACUGGUCCUCGGAUGCAAUUUCCUUGCCUUUAUCGGAGGACUCACCACCUUGACACAGUACAAAAUCGAGAGUUUCACCAAGUUGGUACUAAAUCAAAAUUAAACUAAUUUAGACUACCAAUGCAUGAUAUGGAAUGCAAAAAUGCACUGGUAACUAUCUAAACCCGGUAUUGGCCUAAUUCGUCUUAUCACCCGAUUAAAUUCCUAACGGGUCCGUUUAAACUCCAAUUUAAUUCUUUUCAGUUUCUAUACCUCAAUUGCACCCAAAUUAACUUAAUGUCCCUCAGUGUGGUGCAAAUUAUCAGUCCCAACAGCAAAUUACGAAAAUACCCCUAGUGGGUAAAAAUUCGUAUUUUUGCUCCGAAAAUUCCCAUUAUUUUUCUAGGCUCAUAAUUCAUCAUUCCUUAACCAAUUCUCCUAGAAUAAAAUCAAACUCAUCCUCACUCACUACAUGGUAAAUUCAGCCAUUAAUGGUUGGGGGAGAAAAUAAAUUCUUUUCUUGUUGUUUUGUUUCUAAAUAUGCUAAACUAACUAAAAACACUAACAUAAAUUAAAAUCAAAUAAAUCCAACAACUUUCUCUCUCCUAACCCAUUUUUUCAGAAUUGAAUUCAUCAUGAAAACAUGUAAUUUAAUCAUGGAAAAUAAAGAGAAAUGCUUGGGAAUAAGAAAACUCAAGCUUAAUAGAAAAAAUCUCACCUUUUUCACUUAAUUUCCUUGAAAAUUCACACUUUUUCUUUGAUUUUCUCUCUCUAGGGUUUUGUUUUUUUUUUCUCUCUCUUCUUGCUGGUUUGGCCGGCCAUGGGGUGGAAGAUGGGCUGAUUUUGUGCCUUUUAAAAAGGAAAAUAAUAAAUUAAUAAAGGCAUGACACAUGGCAUCAUGUCAUUGGCCCGUUUUUAAAAUUUUAAAAAUUUAAACAUUUUAUCUCCACCACAUGUUUAGUCAAGGGUCAAAGAUGAAGACAAAGGAAGACCAUGUGCUGGAAAAAAUAUCCUGGUGGUGGAAAAUUACAAUUUUGCCCCUGAGGUGGCAAAAUUACCAUUUUACCCCUAUACUCCAAAUUAUACCGAAAUUAAAAUUUUUCACUUCUAAACCUCAAAUCAUACUUCAAUAAGUCAAAUUAUACUCCAAUAAGUCAAAUGGGGUCAAAAAAAUCUUUUCUAAAAUUCCCAUUUUGUCCCCAGGUGGCAAAUGACCAUUUUGCCCCUAGUUAGUGAAAAUUCCGAUUUGACUCCAAAUUGAUCCUCAAACUCCAAAUUACCAUUUUAAGUCAUCCAUGAACUGUGAAACUCUUAAUCUCACCUUAAAAUUCCUAUUUGAUCUAGUUCGAGGAUUAAAUAAACUUUGUUGUACCUCUAGGUACAAUACCGACUUUUGUAAAUUUUUCGGGACUCUCCUAGCAUGCAAUCAUGCUAUCAUCACAUGUAUGUCAUGAAUAGUAUUUUAUAAGGUCGGGCUUUACAGCUCAUCCUAACAAUCAUAACCCCAAGUGAUUCAAGGGAAAAUAUCUCAUUAGUUCUUUGUUGACAUUAGCUUAAUCAAAUCCUUGGCCAAGGUGAUUAGGAGAUUAUGAAAUGAGUUUUAUAAGUCUCCAUAAAGCUAAUGAUUUAAGUGUAGGAACAAAUAUGGAGGUUAAUAAGAGUAGGCACUGCACCAAACUCUUAUCUUCUUCGGGAUAUAUGAUGAAGGAAUGAAUUACACUGAAAAACUGUACACUGAAAGGUUGUCAAAGAAUCCUUUGACUCUCUUAACAAUUUGGUGACCAUGAUGCAUUGCUAGAUUCCAAUCAUGGUCUAUAGAAUUGAAUUAGUUAAUUUAAAAUUGAAUAUGAUUCAUUUAAAUUAACUAAUUAAUAAUAUUAUAAUUCAAUUCCAUUGCCAACAUGUUAGGAACCUAAUGGGUCAUACACAAAGGUUGCAAUUUGAUUUAAAUUGAGAGUGUGAUGAUUUAAGUUAGACUUAAAUCAAAUUCUAGGUUUUAACUACUAAGGACCCAAUUAAAAAAGUUUAAUUAUGUAUUGGUUAAAUAUUAUAAUUGUUAUAAUAUUAAGGACUUGUUUUGCAAAUUUUAAUAAGUUAAACCUAAAUAUAAAUAUCACAUUAUAGCCACUCUUUUCUAUAGAGAGAAAAAAAAAAGGUUUUUCUCUUGAGAGUUGCCACUCUUGAGAAGUUUUUUUUGAAAACUUCUACUUUAAUUCUUUGCUGGCAAUCAAAGAAGAAAAGAUGACUAUUCGUUGUCCACUUGCUAGUAGAAGCCCGUGGCAUAAAGCUCUCUCCUUGAGAAGGAUCCGUUGCAAUUGUGUGUGCAACAUUGGAGGCUAAGUGAUUGAGUGGUUGGGAUUCUUUCACACAAAAGGUGUUCAUGUUUUGUCACCAAAAGGAAUCCAUUUGAUUACAAUAUCAGUUGGAAAUGUAAACUUUUUCUAAUUUUAUAUGGUGCUUAACUUUGCAUUAAACAACCAAUGUGAUCCAAAGGUAAGAGGCAUGGUUUUUAUUUUAUUUCAAUUUUUUGGUUAUUACGCUACGUUGAUGCUCUAAUCAUGCCAUUCCUAGCAGUGGUAUUAGAGCCUCCCUUGGCUCGUUUUAACGCAAAGGUAUGUCUUGUUAUUGUUUAAUUCCAAUUCUGAUUGGAUGUGAGGUAUUUGGAAGAGAGCAAGUAAGUGUUAAAUUUUGAUUAUGUUUUAAAGUAGUUUAUCAAAUAUUCGAGUUUUGAUUUUUAAUACUUAUUUGUUUCAGCAACUAAUCUUGUUUAAGUGUCUCAAUUUUUCAGAACAAUAUGUGCAUGAGAUGUAAAAAAGAGUUUGGCAAGAAAAGGAUUUGAAUUCGUGGGAAACAAGAUGCGGAUCGGUGAUAGAAUUCGAUACUAUCCAGAUUUGCAUAUGGUUUUAUUUUCAGUUUUUAAUAGGGGACUAAAACCCUCUAAAAAUUCUGAAAAAUUUUGGAAGUAAUCUACAUUGAAAGUGUUUCAAUAUGACUACUUACCAGCCGAAAACGGUUAAGGAAAGGACAUGAAAUCGUGGCUGAAACCAUUGCUGCCAGCAGUAGAUUCAGGGCAUGGUUUUGGCUGAGACAGUCAUCUUCAAAGAGUCCUAAAAUUGUGCAAUUGUUGUACCUUUUUGGAUAAAUUUUGAAGUUUGAAUAUGUUCAAAAGAUGCCUGGAAAGAUUACUAAAAUUAAUGGAUUUAAUCCCUUGAUUUAUGCGACCAUAAUGCCACAUAUGCAACCCAAAAACGGCAGCUAUGUACAGAAUACAUAGGCUAAGUUUUUUUGGGGUUUUGACCAGCUAAAUAAAGUCAAAAAAUUAUGAAAUUUUAAUAUGUAAAGGUUACAUAUGUUAGCUGACCAUGGUUAAAAUUUGGGAAUUAAAUUCUUUGAUUUGGUGCUGCAUCAAGCCACAAAAUCGUGACUGGUACAGUGCUGCCAGAAUUUUGUAAAGCCAUGGUUUUUGGGAUUUUAGUGUCCAUAUUUGCAACCUAAAUUGGUGCAAUUAAAAACACUAAUUCACUAAACAAUAUCUUAUGGAAAAGUUCCAGAAAGAUAAAUUUUGAUAUAUUUAAAUUAGGGAAUUUGAUUCCUUAAAAUAAGACCAGUGAGGAUCGUAAUUCAAAUCAUUUGGUGUUUAGGUUCAAAAAGAUUUAGUAAUUAUAGAAAAAUUAUUUUUCAAAAUUACUUAGUAAAGGAAUUGAUCAUAUCAAGGCCUUUAGCUAGCUCAAAUCGUAUUUGAGUUUAUUCAAUUAGUAAGUUCUUUCUAAUUAAGCUUUUUCAAUUAGAAACUUAAACCAUUUUAGGAAACUUCCUAAGUUGACUAUCCAUCCUAAACCAUUUAGAAAGGCUUCAUGAUCCUAAUCAUGUAUCCUAAACAUUUUAGAAAACUUCUAAAUAUGUCCUAAACAUUUUAGGAAACUUUCCAUAUUUAGCUUAAACAUUUUAAGAAACUUUAUGAAUCCAGAAACUGAUCCUAAACAUUUUAGUAAAGUCCUUAUCCAUUUUAAUCUUGUAUCAUCCAUUUACUAAUUUUAGAGUUCUAAUCCUCAUUAGAAGUCUUAAUUUUUUAGUAAAUUUUCCUUAAUUAAAAUCUUUCCUAAUCGAAUUAGGAUGUCAUCUUCCCAAGUUGACUUGCCUUUUUUAAUUAAGUGUAUCUAAUAUAAUUAGAUGUUGACAUAUUUAAAUCAUAAUCCCUUAAUUUAGGGAGUCUUUGUCAAAUGAAGAAGACUUAAUUGAUUUGGAGAUUUGAUAUCAACCAAAUUAUUAAUUUAAAUCAGUCAAGGAUCAAAUCCAUGAUUUUUGGUGAUUUUAAUAAAAUUAGAUAUCUAUGAUUUUAGGUGCACAUCCCUAACAUUUAAGGAUUCAAUGAUCAGUCAAGGAAAGAAUCCUUGCUAACCAAUGAAUGUUUCCAUAUAUGGCAACUUGUCAUCCAUCUAAAGGCAGGUGGCUACCAUGCUGUUGGCAAUUCAAGCCACCAUGUGCGGCGGCACUUGGAGCAACCUUUGCUCUUUGGUAGUUGUGGCGCUAGGUGAAAAAGCUUCCAAAAUUUCAGCAUUUUUUCUAAAGCCUUUGAAACUAAUUUUUAGUCUGAUUCCAACCUCACACAUGAACAAUUUCAUGGUAAAUCAGUUUUGGGAAUUUCAAAAAUAAUGCAAAUUGAUUUAACAUUAAAUAACCAAAAUACAUGCUGAAAAUUUUUCACAAGCAGAUUCUGUUCAACUUCAUUUUAUGCUUAAAUCCAGCUUCAUAAAUCAUUACAAAUUUAUGAUUUUGCUAUCCACAUAUCUAGUAAUUAGUGUGUAACAAUUACACAUUUUAUUUUUUGGAAAUUAAGUAGAAAACAGCAUCAAGCAUUCCAUCUAAAUCGCACAUAUGCAUGCUGAAUCACUAUAGGACAACUUUCGUAUUUCACUUCUUUCUUGCUCAAUUUUAGUCCAUUAUAUCAUGACCUUUUCAUGAUCAUUUCCUGUCCAAUUUUGAACAAUUAAUGUGAAACAGUUUCACAUUUUUCUUUACUAGUGUUGCAUUUAAAUGUGGUGCGUCCACAUAGCAUGCAACUUUAUUAAUUAUUUAUGGAUAAUUAACUAAUAUUCAAUUAAUUAAUAUUAGAUAUUAUUUUUAUAUUCCUUAAUUGAAUAAUUAAAAAUAAAUGUUUGAGAUAGGAUAUAAAUUUAAAUUUAAUUUGUUUAAAUUUAAAUUAUCUAUUCAUUGUAUUUAAAUUUAAAUAAGAAUUAAUUACAUUUAAAUUUAAUUUGUUUAAAUUUAAAUAUAAUAUCCUAUCUCUAUAUCCCUAAUACGUCUAUAAAUAGUGAACAGAUGUACUAGUUUCAAUACACAACCAAAGAGUGAAUUUGAGUUCUUCUGUAAGUAAGAAAAACCAAAAACUCUUUUCUCCUUUUUAUUUCUUUUUCUCUUCAUUCUUGAGGCACCAUCAAAUGCUAGAGGAUUUUGGAACGUGUAAUUCCUUGUGGAGGACUCUAGUAGUCGAUACAUAACAACGAAAGUAAAGAAAUUAUUGUGUGCACGAACGAAGAUUUGUAAGGCAAGCUUAUUCAAUCAGAAAAGGAGAGGAAUAUUUAUCUGAAAAGAUAAGCCCACUUUCCAACUAUGGUAUCAGAGCAGGUUUUGGCUUGCUUUCAUCUUUUUUAUUUGUGUAUAUUUUGAAAGAGUGUUUUGAUUAUGAUUUAAUUUAAUUUAAAUUACCGAUACUGAUUUAUUAUGUAUAAAUCUAUAAAAACUGUUGAAACUGAUAUGGGGAAGGAGUAGGCUUUAAUCCAGUGCAAACAGGUUCAUUGGUCUAAGGCCAUUUGGAGCCUUAUGGAUGGCAACAAAACAAAAAAAAUGAGAAAAGAAAUGCAACUAGCAGGAUUUGAAUUUGCACUAAGAAAGUCAUUGAGACUUUGAAAAUAUCCUUCAACCAUUACACCAAGGAGGCAUCUUUGAGAUGUAAUUAUGGCAAAUAAUAAAGACAAAAAAAGUCCGAACAUUGCCAUAUAGGGCUUGAUGUGGCAGCCACAUGGUGCCAAAGGAUAUAUUUUUCUUAAUUGCAUUUUUCCCCAUAAGUUUUUGUUUCUACAGAAUGACCUCAAUAUUUUUUUGGUAAUUAAAAUUUCACAAAAAAAAAUUCAAAAUAUUAUUUAUGCUUUUGGCAUGUUACUAUUUAACUAAAUUCACAUGCAUUAUAAAUAUAGUUAAUUAAUAUGUUAAUUAACCACAUUUUUUUAUAUGUUGUAUAUUAGAAAUUAUUUUUCUUCUAAAACAUAUAUAUGAAUUUAGCAAAUGUUCGUUAAUUCAAUUAUUUUACAUAUGUUGUAAAAUGCUAUGUACCAUAUAAGUAUAUUUUAUAAUUAUUUUACGUAAUUGUUAGGUAAAAUUUAUAAAAAUGCAUGAUGCAAUUAUUUUACUUAUUUGUUAGGUAAAAUUUAUAAAAUGCAUCAUGUAAUCAUUUUACUUAUUUGUUAAGUAAAAUUAUAUGCAAAAAGACAGUAUGGUGAUUAUAUGUCUCAAUAGUUUUGUCAAAAGAGACUGGGUUUUAAAAGAGACCGUUUGUGACUCCUCUACCCUACAUUAGAAAUUACUGCAAAAGUAGGAUGCUUUGUCGAGGAGACUGUUAUAGUCUUUCUUGGAAGCAUUUGAAAAUAUGAUAUACUCAGUGCUAUUUUUGUGUGCAUAAUACUUAUAUGGAAUUUUUGAUCAUCCAAAAUAAUAAAUAUGUAUAAGCAAGCACAACAUCGUUAGUUUUGUAUAGAUUGAUGUAGUAGGUUCCUUAUGAUGCUUAUACUAUUGGUGAUGAUUACUAGCAUGCAUGCAAAAUUUUCGAACUAGUAAUAUAGGUAAAAAUGAAAUAUGUCUAAUCUUAAUUGAUUAGAAAAUCAGAUAUGUGCCUAAUUGAAUCUUAUGCAAUGAUGUAAUGAUAUAGCUUCAAAACAAAUUAUUGUUGAUUUGACCAAAGGUGGCAAACUUGAUGGCAAAAACUAUGAUAUCUAGCAGAAGAAGGUUCAAUAUCUUCUUAAUGAGCAAGAGUUGCUCGAUCAUCUGACUAAAGAGAUGAACCCAACUGAAGCUAGAAACACAGCCAAGCAUCGCCUUGACUAAGAGGCCUCUGACACUUGGUAUAAGAGAAAUCGUAAUGCGCGCUUUACCAUGUUAAGCUACAGGCAUGAUGAUCUCAUUGGGAGUUUGAGAACUUCUCAACUACCAAACAGUUGUGGGAACAACUGAAAUUCAAGUAUGGUGGAACCAUAGUUACGAGGCUUCGUGCCUUGACACUUAGGUUCAAUCAAUAUGUGAUAGACUCCAACACACUAUGGCUGAGCACUUAAGGGCUAUGUCAGCCAUGAUAAGAGAAAUGAAAGCAGCUGGCUAUGAUCUCACAGAUGAGCAGUAAGUCUUAGCUGUCAUCAGGUCACUCCUCGAGUUCUCAUGGGGACAUGUUAAACUUGUAUAAACACAUAAUGAAGGGAUAAAGACUUUUGAUGAUAUUUCGUGCCAUUUAGAGCUUAAGGCAGAGUGUAGAGAAGCUAUCCAUAGCACUGCUCUGAUAGCUCAAGUUGAAAAUCGCAUAGGGUAUGUUCCCAAGCGAAAGAGACAACAAAAGAAAAGAAUCAUUGGAAAUCUAAGGGCCAAAAAUGAUGGAGUCACCAAGUACCAAAGAGGCAAGUGUGGUGGGAAGAAAGAGAAGUCCAAGUUGAAAUGCUUUAAUUGUGGUAAAAAGGAACAUUUUGCUCAGGAAUGCACUGAGCCUAAGAAGGUUCGUCCUCUAAACCACUUUAGAACUUAUGUAUGUUCUCAUAUGUUUAUAGCUUAUUUUCUCCAUGGUUGGAUUGUAGAUACAAGAGUAACCAAUCACAUAACCUGCAGUCGUGCAGGAUAUGUAGAUUACCAUUGUUUACCAAUGGGUAAACACUUUGUCAUGAUAGGGAAAGAGGAAUAGGAAGAGGUCCUAGGAGAAAGAACUUACCAACUCACAAUGCACAAUGAGCAAAAAUAGCUCUUACAUGAUGUGCUUCAUACUCCGUCUAUACGAUGUAAUCUACUUUCAAUUUUAGCAUUGAUGGGUUUAGGAUUUAAUUUUACCUUCAAGAAUUAUAGUUUGUCUAUUUUUCUUGAAAACACAUUUUUUUGUCAUGGUUAUUUGAAAGAUGGUUUGAUUAUGUUAGAUUUGGAUUCUAAUAAUAAUGUUGCUUUUGUUUCAAAUUCUUCUUCUGAUGUUAUAAAUGAUUCUGUGAAAUGGCAUGCUAGAUUAGGACAUAUUGGGCUCAAUCACCAAAGUUAAACUUCCUACAUGUGAGCCAUGUCUUGCUAGUAAGUCGAGCAGAAAGCCUUUUGGGAAGGCUAAAAGGGCCACCCAUCUUCUAAAACUUGUUCAUUCAGACAUUUGUGGGCCUAUAAAUGUAAAUGCAUGCAAUGGCGCAUCUUAUUUCAUUACAUUCAUAGAUGAUUACUCACGAUAUGGAUCCAUAUUUCUCUUAUCUCAUCGUUAUGAAACUUUGAAUUGUUUCAAACGCUUUGUAGCAGAGGUUGAGAAUCAGAAAGAAAGGAAACUUAACGUUUUUUGCACUGAUAGAGUCGUAAAUACCUAUAUGAUUAGUUCAAAGAAUUAUGUGAGGAAAAGGGAAUACGUUGACAAUUAACGAUACCUAGAACUUCGUAACAAAAUGGUGUUGCAGAUAGAAAGAAUCUAUAGCAACCUUCUCCCUGAUCGUUAUCGACGUCCGAGACUUGCGAGUGAACCCACCAAAUCUCGAACAAGCCUUAGUUGAGAAUCUAGAUAAUUAAAUUGAACAUUCUAAUGUGUAUGUAAAUCGACUUGUAAUAAUAAUACUAUCGUUUACUUAAAACAAAUAAACUGCUGUAAUUAGGAUGUAGCAACUAGAUAUAAUAUCCACGUUUAACCAACUUCAAGAUAGUUUCAACAUCACACUUAGCAUCCAAUACACAACCUCAAAGUUUUUAGCAAAUACAUAUCUGAAAAACUAAUAAUAAUUUUAUAAAUCUAACAGUUUUACAUAACACGACCCCUAUGCAGCAGAGCGACUCGGAGUGGAAGUCUAAGAGAUGCCAUUACCUACGUCUCAACAAAUCACAAUAUGCCAGGCAAUACACUUAAGCUGAUCACUUAUCUGUAAAAGGAAGAUAGAGGGGGUGACCUCAUGGACUCAGUGAUCAUCGACUUCGUGAGCAGGGCAUAGAUGGGAAACAAGCCAAGGAUAGAUAAUUUGAACAUUAAAAACAUACGAAUAUAUAUAAACAAUUUAAAAUCAAAUGAAGCAUUUGUGCCUUAUAUAUAAACCUAAAAGUUGUGUUGUGAAAGUAAUAUAAAAAAAACUAGUGCAAGUAAAAGACUUCUACCAUUGAAAUCAUUUGUUGUCCUUUACUUAAAAUCAGGUUAACAUAAGCAUGCAUGCUCCCGUAAAAUCAAGCAAUAUCGAUGCUUAUACACAAGUUUAUAAACGAUCUCAUCCUUGAGAUAUUAAACACAAAUCCAUCGUAUAAAUAAGGGAGCUGUAAAAAAACUCGUAAUUCUCACCAUGCGAAAGAAUACGUAUUUGAAAACCCAAAGAGAUAUCACUCUCGAGUAAGUGAUAGAAAUAAAGAACUCAUGGACUCGCUUCCACGACAUAACAUCUGGGAGGCCUCCUUCCACCGAAUUCCCAUAGCCAUGGCAAUCUCGACGAUGUUGGCUGACAUCGGAGUAGUCAUGUGGUCGCAACCACGUAUAUCAAUUGGUGGCCUAGCCACCUAUAUCAUCCAGUGGCCUUGCCAUGUAUAUAUAUCACAAACCGUGGCCUAGCCAUGUUUAACAGCUCAUUGGUGACCCAAAGGUUCUCUAGCUAGAGCUCAUUUGUGCACAAGGGUCACACUAUCUUGAUGUGACAUUUGACUUACUCUCGAAUCUCUUGGUUUGAUAAAACCAUUUAAAAAUCAAGUUAGGUUCUCAAAAGCUUAUUUCAGAACCAUUUCCAAAAUACUAAUCAUGGUAACAUGAUAAAACCCCUUUUUGUAAGACUUUAUAUUAUAAAACCUUUGCAUGAGGUUUAAAUAUCAAAUCAGCAUGGUGAAUAUGUAAUUUAUUCAUGAAUGCACAUCACACAAACAAUAAGGCACAUUUCGACAUAAACUGUGUUAAAGAGCUUGUUUCUCGAUUUUUAAAACCCUUUAGAUAUAUAGAUUAUAUAUAUGUUCAAAACAAAUUUCAAAAGUCACGGCAUCCAUAAACGCCUAGGAGUUCUACCAGCUCAUGCUUUCCACAAUGAUAGUUAUAAAUCUUUCACAUAAUAGUAGUGUACGAAACAACAUUCUAGAUAUUAUGGAACCUUUUUGAAAUAGACACCCCCUACUCACCUCACAAUAGUGGGACACUACGUCGUUAUUGGUUUGGGUGCGUAUCUAGCUAAUUCUACUUGCCGGUCACUUGUUAUCUCUUCCGGUACACCACCACGGCAAACCCUCCUCACUUACACACUUCCUAGCAACGAUUCAAACUCAAUAUACUUAAUUAUUCACAUGUACAGUAGCACUCCAAUCAAUGAAUCCUUAACCCAAUUUCAUAGUUUUCAUCAACAUUAUUCACAAUCAUUUAACAUGCAAUCCACAUACUUUCAACCGACCAUAGCCAACACAACAUAAUGUACUCACAUUGCAUGCUUACCUUUCAAUUUUAGCUUGAAUUCCACAUAUAGUUCACAAUUUCUUCACAUCUUCGGUCACCAUUGCUGCCACAUGCAUAAGAAAUUAAUACACAUCUCAUUUCUCCUUUCUACUUAUGAUUUCGAUAUGAAAACACUUACCCAUUACUUAUCUAGCUCAAAAUCACCAUGCAUUCCAAGAUCCACCCACAUGCAUGCAUACGGUUCUUGAAUCCUUGAAGAUUCUUGCUACCACAAACAAAAUUCCACAUUAUAAUCGCUUCAUAAGGCAUGCAUUCAAACAAAAUGAUAAUUUUUACCUUCCUUACCUUGGAAUCUCUAAGCUGAACCACCAAUGUCUUCUUUAGCUCCAACAAUGGCGUGUGUGGGGAAGAUAAACCUCUUGAUUUUUCUCCAACUCCUCCAAAGCUGAACCUCCCUUUUUGCUCUUCUUCUUUCUCCUUUCUUCCUUUUUCUUUUUGCUUCAAAGCCGAUUCUCUCUUUUUUUUCUCAAAGGUUCGGUUUUUCCAAGCCUUUUCCUCACAUUUCAUUCCCUUAUUUAUUCCUUAUCUACCACUGGACCAAUUCAUCCCCCACUCAAAUUUCAUGCACCAAUUUCCUUCCUUAUUCAUUGGCUCAUAAUCUAUCCUCAUUUAGCUUCUCCAUCCGCCACCUUCACUAUCCCAUUUUUUCUUCCUUUAUUCAUUAUUUCAUACACCACCUUAUUCCUCCAAUCACAUUUCAUGCACAAGCUUAACUUAAUAUUUUAUUUGAUCAUUCAUCAAUCUAUUCAAGGCACAUGCAUCCCACAUAUUGCUUUCCUCAUUUGGCCACCUAAUGCACCAAUCUCAUUACAUGCAAGUAAACUUAGUCUUAUUCUUCCUUUAACUUCACAUGGUGGGGGUCCCACAUGUUCCCCACUAACUUUCUCCUUUUUGCAUGCUAUAAUUUGCAUGUAAUAGUAAAUUCACAUGCACAUCUCAUUAUCCCACAUAAUCUAACUUUCCUUAGUUAGAUAUUUUCCAUUUAACUCCAAAUGUUGAAUUUGCACAUAAGUCCUCAAACUUUUCCUUAUUUACCAUUCAACCCUUCAACUUUUCAUCCUUUGCAAUUUGGUCCUUCUAACAUUUCUUCAAUUCCAAUUUCCUUAUAUUUUCCUUCCUUUACAUUUGUACAAGUAAUAUUUAAAAUUUACACUUCACCAAGGUGUCACCAUAAUAUUUAAAUAUAUACUUACCCGCUUUUGCUUUAUUUAAUAAAGACACGUGAGCCCCACUAAUGUUGUUUUUCUUCCAAAUUCUUUCUUACUUCUUCUCCCCCAUUUAGACUAGUCAUAUAGUCCUCCUUCAUGACUAAUUUCAAUAAUAGAUAAAAUAUUAAUAUUUUAAUAUUAUUUUAUUAAUAAAAAAUUAUUUUAUUCCAAGAUAUUCUUUUCACAUGUCACCGUUCUUUGACACUUAAAUUUACAUCAAUUAACCCUUCGUCUUAUCGAUAAGGUCUUAUUGGCUUCUAUACGAGGGUAUGAAGUGUUACAAAAGCUUACCUUGUUAGACAUGGUUAGGUUAAUGAUGGCACAAGCCAACCUUCCAAUAAGUUUUUGAGGGGAUGCCCUUUUGACCAUAGCAUAGAUCUUCAAUCGUGUGCCCUCAAAAUCUAUCCCCAUAACUCCAUAUGAGUUAUGGAAUGAAAGUAAGCCCAAUUUGGAAGGCUUACGUCGUUAGGGAUCAACAGGGUACAUACAUCACUCAUCUCAUAAGUAUGGGAAACUUGGUCCUAAAGCUAAUAAGUGUGUAUUUAUUAGAUGUUCAGAACAUUCUAAGGGCUACGUGAUGUAUGAGGAACACCCUGAUGAAGGGCUAACUGAGAUAGAAUCUCGUGAUGUUGAUUUUCUAGAAGAAGACUUCCUAACCAUUAGUGAGGUUAAAGAAAACCUUUAGCUUUAUGAGAUGGAGGAGCCUCAAGAAAGUGUAUCCUAACAUGAAGAAAUGAAUGUGGAAAUACAUCCUAUCCAAGAAACUGUUGUGGUCAGUGGGAGUACAUAGUUUGAGCUCCACCAAGAUUAACAGUUGCUAAGAAGUGAACAUGGGCAAAUACCCCGUAAAUGAUUCAAGAUAGAAGGUUAGUCUUUCUUAGGUAUUCUUGUGGAUGUUGAUGAACCAUCUUCCUAUGAGGAAGCUUUAAAAUCACCAUCAUCAGACAAGUGGCUUACUGCUAUGGAAGAUGAAAUGAAAUCCAUGACUGAAAACCAAGUAUGGGAGGUAGUUGACCUUCCACUUGGGCAUAAAGCAAUCGGAAACAAAUGGGUUCUGAAGGUAAAACACAAAACGGAUGGAUCAAUUGAAAAAUAUAAGGCUCGUUUAGUGGUAAAAGGCAAUUCCCAAAACAAGGGUGUGGAUUAUGAAGAGAUGUUUUCUCUUGUGGUGAGAUUGCGUCAAUUUGUCUUAUCCUGGCUAUAGUGGCACAUCUAGAUUUGGAAUUGUUCCAAAUGGAUGUGAAAACUGUAUUUCUCAAUGGAGAAAUCAAUGAAGAGAUUUACAUGAACCAACCAAUUGGUUUUCAAGCCAAAGAAAAGGAACACAAGGUGUGUCGCUUGAAACAUUCUAUCUAUGGCUUGAAAUAAUCAUCUCGACAAUGGUAUCUUCGUUUUCAUCAAGCCAUCAUUUUCAUAGCGUUUGUGAUGAUUGAAGAGGACCAUUGUGUAUAUCUAAAGAGAUUAAGGAAUAAGUUUCUUAUUCUUUCAUUAUAUGUGGAUGAUAGCUUAUUAGCCGGGAAGGACAUGGAGUUAAUUAUCAUCACUUAGAAGUGCUUGUCUUCCACUUUCAAGAUGAAGGACAUUUGACAAGUUGAAAACAUCCUCGACGUUAAGAUCUCGAGAAACCAUUUUGAGAAGUUCUUGAGUUUGUCUUAAGAAAAUUACGUUUAAAGGGUUUUAGAAUGAUUUCGUACGCAAAACUCCAAGCCUGUAGACACUCAAAUGGAGAAAGGCUUAUGUCUCAACAUGGAACAAUGUCCUAAAACUAAAGAAGAAAACAAACAAAUGGUGAAUGUGCCAUACAUAAUUGCUGUUGGAAGUCUGAUGUACGAUAUGAUGUGUACUCGACCAGACAUAUACUUUACAGUUGAUAUGGUUAGUAGGUACCAAAGUAAUCGUGGGAUUCCCCAUUAGGUUGUAGUCAAAAUGAUACUACGAUAUCUAAGAGGAACCACUAAUUUGGCUUUGUGCUAUCAAGGUGGAAAUUCAAAAUUAGUCGUUUAACACCCCGUACCUUCAUAUAGAAGCCAAUAAGAUCUUAUCGAUGAGACAAAUAGUCAAUUGAUAUAAAUUUAAGUACCAAAAAGUGGUAAUGGGUGAAAAUAAUAUUUUAAAAUAAAAUAAUAUUUUAUUAAUAAAAUAUUAUUAAAAUAUUAAUAUUUUAUUUAUUAUCGAAAUUAGUCAUGAAGGAGGAUUAUAUGGCUAAUCUAAGUGGGGGAGAAGAAGUAAGAAAGAACUAUGAAGAAAAAUGACGUUAGUGGGGCCCACUACCUUUAUUAAAUAGAGUAAGAGUUGGUAAGUAUAUAUUUAAAUAUUAUGGUGAUACCUUGGAAAAGUGCAAAUUUUAUAUCUUAUUUGUACAAGUUUAAAGGAAGGAAAAUAGAAGGAAAUUGAAAUUAAAUAAAUGUUAGGAGGACCAAAUUGUAAAGGAUGAAAAGUUUGGAGGGGCACAUGGUAAAUAAGGAAAAGUUUGAGGACUUAUGUGCAAUUUCAAUAUUUGGAGUUAAAUGGAAAUUAACUAACCAAAGGAAGUUAGAUUAUGGGACAUAAUGAGAUGUGUAUGUUAAUUUACUAUUACAUGCAAUUAAAUCAUGCAAAAAGGAGAAGUUAAUGGGGAACAUAUGGGACCCCCACCAUGUGAAGUAAAAGGUGUUAGGAAUUUUGAGAGUAUGGUGCCCUAGAAAGCAAGUAUAUUCUCAUGUUUAAAUUCAUUGAAUUUAUUUGUAAUGAAAGUAUAUUUUGAUGAUAAGACGAAGAGUUUGUUUUGGUAAGCAUUCAUUAUCUAGUUAUUAAGGUACCAAGAUUCUAUUGAGAUAUUAAAAUAUAUUUGUAUGAAGAGUCAUACAUAGGAGACAUGUAUUUUAAUUGAAUCUAAAAAAUUGUUCAUAGCCAUAUAAUAAAGCUGGUCACUUUAUUAUGUUAAGGCUGUAGUGUCCAAAUUACUUCCAAUGAAACGAAUGUGAUUCAUUUCAAGGGAAUGAUGAGUCUCAAAUCAUAGAAAUGGUUGACUUCGAGUAAUGACACUAUAUCAUGAACUGGAAUCAUGUGAGAAUCAAAUUUAAGUUUUACCGUUACCUAAAUUUUGUUCUCACACUUAUGCAUUUGCUUAUAGUAGAAUCGAAAACCUGAUGGAUAGUGGACUCGUGUUUGAUCUCCUUAUGAUCUUUGAUUUACUAUAAGCAUGAUCAUCAUAAAGCGUUGAUCUAGACUCCAUAUUUUGGGAUUAUAAUUGAGAUGAACAUCUGGGAACAUAUAUCCAAAUAAUGGAGUUCAUAGCUGUCACGACCCAAAUUCAGGGCCAUGACUGGUGCAUGGGCCCAAUGGACAUAGUCCACUAAUGUCACGAUCCAAAUUUCGGGCCAUGACCGGUGCAUGGGCCCAAUAGACGUAGUCCGCUAAGCUCAAGCAAGCCUAUUAAUUUGACAUAUUUAUCAUUCCAUCAUAAACUGCUAAGUCACAUUUCAUAACUUAGAAUCAAAAUAAUACUACACAUUGCCAUCUCAUAUUGGCAUACUAAACAAGUGUAUAUACAUUGUCUACAACAUGUUUCUUAACAAUUUACAUUAGGUUCGUCUAUACACAACAAAAUAAUACUCGACUUCCAAUGGAGGGACUCGGAUGAAGGUACAGCUACUGAAUGUCGAGCCACCUACCAAAAGAUGGAUACAAGUCUACAAAGACACCUCGUCCUAGUUAUCGGCUACCUCGUGAUCUGAAAACAUGAAGUUGAAAACGGUGAGUAUAAACCCAGUGAGUGAACAAAGAAAGGAACAAGCAACAACAAGGGAGAAUUUAAAAUCAUGAUGCACUUGUUUCAAAACAAUACAAUUUAGUUCCACUCAUAUUAAAAGCCCCUCAUCAAGCCCUUAAAUGAUUAAUCAUUUGAAAAUCAUGAACCCAUACAUAACGAACCAUUUGAAGAAUGAAAGCUUCAAUGAUCGCAAGCAAGUCAAAUACGACAAUGAAUCUUUGUUGCAGCGACGUUGGGAUUAAGUUAUUAGCCGAACGAAGGUUUCUCAACUGGUCGAGGGUUUCACACUAAACCUCCUCAUUUUAAACUUAACUCAUUUAGUGCUUAAUGUUGGAAUUUCGGGCUUAGAUAUGGUAGCAAAGAAAUAAAAAAUAGGGCAGUAAUUAGACAAGAUAGGAGACAAAAACAUAAAGUUUUUCGCUGCAGCGAGAUUGAAUCUCGCUGCAGUGCAAUUGUAACCCAGAAACAGAAGGUUUCUCGCUGCAGCGAAAUUCAACUGAUGAAACAGAGAGUUUCUCGGUGCAGCGAGAUUCCUUUUUGCUACAGUGAGAAGCUACAGUGACUAUCUCGCUACAGCGAGAAACAGUUCUGGUGAAGGCUCUCAAACUCGAGAGUUUCUCGUUGCAGCAAGAAUGAUUCUUGCUGCAGCGAGAUACAAGGCACCAAAUGAAAAUUUCCCUUUCUCCCAAAGAAAACCACCUUGCUGAAAUGUUCAAAACCAAUAAGAAAUACAUAACAACUUUCCAAAGUUUAACAUACUGAAUUUCACAUACAUUACAUCCAUACACAUAACUCAUAAAUUUCUUAUAACACACAUGUUUACGUAUGUAUAUAUAUACAUAUGCCCAUCACCAUCAUGCACACCAUCCCAUCAUCAUCAUCACCAGCUCAUGCAUACUCCCUACUCGCACAUGGCUGGGUCAUCAUCGGGUUAUGCGCACUCCCUACUCGCACAUAACCGGGUCAUCCUCGACUUAUGCUCAUCCCUACUCGCACAUAGUCGAGUCAAUGUCAUUACACAACAAUUGUAAAACCCGACCCUAUAAACACAUGUCAUGACAUACAUGCACUGAGUAGCAUGUUAUUAUGCUAGGAAAACACCUAAGAAUAGACGAAACCCGAUAUCGUACCUAAUGGUACACUUGAGUUGAUUUAACCUUGAACUAGUUCAAAUAGGAAUCGUAGGAUGAAAUUUAAUAUUUUAUAGUCAAGGAAUGACUAAAAAUGAUUGUUCGGAGUUCGAGGGUUCAUUAGGGGUAAAAUUGAAAAUUUUGAUGUUUAGGGGUAAAAUCGUCAUUUUACCACCUAAGAUAAUAAUUUGAUAAUGGAGUGAAAUUUUUGACCAAGAUUAACUAUUUGGAGUAUAAUUUAAUGAUAGGAAGUGAAAAAGUUUAAUUCUGGUGAUUUUUGGAGUGUAGGGGCAAAAUCGUAAUUUUGCCACCCACGGACAAAAUUUGAGAUUUUGAGAGAAUUUAGAUCAAAUUUGACAAAUUGGAGAAUGGUAUGAGUAUAAGGGAUGAAAAAUAUGUCUAUGGGCAAUUUUUCAAUUUUUGGGGCAAAAAUGUAAUUUUUGACUUUUACGGGGGCAAAAGUGUAAAUUUCAAAAAUUACUCCACCGAGACUUUGGAUAAGUCUGAGAAUUUUAUCUAAGCUAUGGAUAUGUGGGACAAGUGUAUGGUGAAAAUUUGGAAACAAAUGGAUGAAAUUUUAAAAAUGGGCCAAUGGGAAAGUGACACGUGGCAUUUUUUAAUGAAAUAAUAUUAUUUUAAUGAAAAGUCAGCCCAUUUAAACCCAAAUUUUGAGUGCUGGCCGGCCAUAAGGAAGAACAAGAGAGGAAAUAGAGAGGAAAGGAAGAAAAAAAGAAAAACCAAAGAGAAACAAGAAAAUUCAAAGGGAAAUUCGCGGUUUUCGACCGUUUACGCGUCUAACGGUAAGAUUUUUCGAUUUUAGCUUGAUUUCUACCUUUCCUAUGCCUUUAUUUCCAUUUAGCAUGCUUGAGGAGAGAGAUCAAAAAGUGAUAUCAAGGGCUGGACGAAAUUCUAGGGGAGAGAAAUUGAAAUUUUUAGGUUUUGAUUUUUAGUUAAAUUGAUAGUUUUAGUUAGUUAAAUGUGUUUAGAAAUUAAAUUGGGCAAGAAAUCAUUAAAUUUUCACAAUACCCACUCUUGGCUGGAUGCUCAAUGCUGUACAAUGAUGAUGAAUUGAUUUUAUUCUAAGGAAAAUGAAGAGAAAAUGAUGAAAAACGAUUAAACGUGAUAGAAAAACAAAGUAGAAAAUUAACCGAGUUAAUGUCCCAUUUUUGGCCGAAUUUUCCAAGGAAGGGAGUGAGCUGAUUUUGUUGUUUUUAGAAGGUUAUUGGCUGAUAUUUAAUGGUUAGAAAUGUUGGAGAGAGAAUGGGAUGAUUUAGAGCUAAAAUGGAGCGCGUUAGCAAUUUAUCGGGCAAAGUGCCAAAAAUAGGUUAAUACCGCGUUUAAGCCGUUUUAGGCUAUUGCAUUUCAUACCAUGCAUUAGUAUAGGAUUUAAGUUAAUUAUAUAGUGAUUUAGCAUCAAUGUGAUGAAUUGUGUAAAUUUUUGUAAUGUGUCUAGGAGGAGAGCCUUCCGGAAAAGGCAAAGAAGUCGUACCCGACGAGUAGUGAUCGGGGCGCUUAGAAAGCUUUUAGUUUGUACAAACGGUGAGUAAACUUAUUAUUAUUGUAAAUUAUCUAGAGUUUAUUUUUAAAUGCCCUUUAUGUAUUUUAUGAAAUGAAAACGAGAUUAAAACGGGAUUUUUGAUGUUUUAGGAAUAAAUGUGACAAAUAAAAAUAUAUUGUAUUGAUUAUGAAAUUGAGUAAUUGGAGGCUGCAAAUUGACUUGAAAAAUAUAUAUUUUCCUAGGAAUGGCUUAUGAGAAAUGAGUAUAUGUGGCUAUAUUUUGUGAGUGCAUUGGGAAAUUUAUGUAAGUUGUUUUUACUAUGCAGGCUGGAUAAAUAAAUAAAAGCCACGUUAUACUGUCGAAAUUUUAUUAAAAUUGGUGGGUUAGUCACUGCAGUGACGGGUUUCCGUGGACUGCCUAUUAGAGGGGCACGGUAAACCCAGUUAUAUAGUUACUCCGGUUGUAGAGGCGAGGAGGGUAACUCCCGGGGUAGUAUUAGAGCUCACUUCACGUCGAACCCCCACGUGAAUGUGUAACUCGGCCAACGCCAAGGAACGGCUGGUUUUAAAAAUAAAAAUGUGUUUCACGUGUGAAUAUUUUAACACCCUUGGCGGACUCGGUUAGAUGCCUCGGCCAAGGUAUCCCCGAGGAUUAGUUUUGGCUUGAGCCUUGUUUUAAUAAAAGACAUAAGCCUUAACAACUGUUUUGGUAAAUUACAAAUAUUUUAUGGUUUAAGAAAUAAAUUGAAAACAUUAUGAAAUGGGUUGAAAUUUGUUGUUUAAACUUGCCUCCAUUUUACUCGCCUUUAGAUAUUUAUGAUAAUGUCUGUUUACUCAUUGGGAUUGCAAAAUCUCACCCAACUCCUUUCCACCCAUUUCAGGUUCAGUAUAGACUGUAGAUAGCUGAUCUCAUCGAGGACUACCAUUGGAUCUGCAUUUUCCAAACCGUAGGUUCACAGUCCUCUUUACUUUUGUUUAUUCGGGGGCCCUCUUGUUAUUGUAAAUUAAAUUAAAUAUUUUGGCUUACUGUAUUUCAGUAUGUAUAAAUUUAUUUAGCUUUUACGCUAUAAAAAUUAUUCACGUAUAACUCUAUAAAUAUUGUUUUAUAAGAAAAUAGAAUAUUUUCCUUAAUAUUUCUUUUAUUUUCUUAUUAUAUUCAAAUAACCGUAAUUUCGUUUUAAAUGAAGAUUUUAGACUUUUAAACUCAUUUUGAAUAUGAAUUAUGUGUUUUGUACUUGUAUAUUACGUUUUAGCCAGUUUCGAAAUUUUUGAGAAAAAAAUGACCAAAAUACCCCUGUGUGGCGAAAAUUUUAUUUUGAUUGUUUUUGAUCUAAAAUAGUAUAUAUUCUCUAAAAACUCGAUAUUUAACAAUGAUUGCUCACAGGAAAGGAAAGAAAUUGAUAUGUAAGCCUUGCGGGGUUCUGGUUGGCAUUUCGGGUAAUGAGUGUCAAUCGGGACGUCGCGACAGUUGUCAUGGGCCAGAGGGAGGUUUCGGGUCGUGACAACAAUAUAUUCAUAUAUAUAUAUCAACACAAUUUGGUAGUGCAUGAAUCAAUAAUAGUCACAUGUCACAACAUAAACCAUUUCUCAAGAGCUAGUUCCCAAGGCAUUCAUUUUUAAGAAAAGUUGUAUAAAAUCAUUCAAACACUUGUACAAAAAUAGUUUUGAUAGGUAGUCCACUCACUGAUUUAUUGUUAAGCCUUUAGCUGACUCUAUUUCCCUUAAUGAUCCAACUGGAAGGAUGGGACUUCAUUAAAACUUAGGUUCACAUUAGCAUAAGCAAUAGGUCAAUUCACACACUAUGAACCAUAAAAGCUAUCUCUUAGCUAGCUUUCAAUUGCCACAUUAAAUGGCUAUCUAUGUUCACUAUCUUAAUCACUAAAAAGUAAUGAACAUACUCAACAAUAAAACAGCUCAUACUCCCAAUUACUAGCCAUUAUUCAUAGCUAAAAACCAAGCUUAAUUCAUCACUUACCCUAGGGUUCCUUUGUACUUAAAUUCUCUUCCAAUAGCUUCCACAUAAAUAGGCUAAUUCUCUUUUUCUCUCUCUAGAAUGCCCAACUAGUGAGAGAAAGUAUGGAAAUAAGCUUUACCAGGGGUUUUGAAGUGAGAGAGUGAAAGAAUACAAGGGUUCUAGUCAAAAAGGCACAAGGAUAUGAAAAUUAAAGCUAGAGGGAGAAAAUUAGGCAAGCUCCAUAUCAAGCUUCCAUGGAGCUUUUAAAGAAACGUGAGAGGGAAGAAGGAAGAAGAAGACAAGCUGCUGGAAAAUGGGAGAAGAAGCUGCUGGAAGAAGGAUAUUUAUAGGCCAAACUUACCCAUUCCCUUAAAAUUACGAAAAUGCCCUUAACUAGUUAGCUUGUUCUCAUGCAACCCUUUGUGCAAUCUUUUUACUCUUUAACACUAAGACCAAGUCCAUAAUGGUCUAGACAUGUUCAGGUUUGCAAAACUUUUAAAAGUUUUGACUCGGGUGCAAAAUGACCAUUUUGCCCUUAUUGUGAAAAUUAUUAUCAUUUCUAGUUUUCUUCGUGUUUUCAUCAUUGCACGUCGUUUAUGCAGUCUUAUGCCUAUUUAGACCUUAAAAUAUCAUAAAAAUUUCUUUUGAGAGCUUAUUAGAGAAAAUGACGAAACUACCCCUAGCUUGUAUUAUUACAUCUAUGCUUAGUUAGAAGCCUAUAGAGGUUGAGGUCUCACAACUAAGACUAAGCAAGCCUAUUAAUCUAACAUGUUCAUCAUUCCAUCAUAAAUUGCUAAGUCACAUUUCAUACUUGAAUCAAAAUAAUAUAAAACAUUAACAUCUCAUACUGGCAUACCAAAGAAGUGUAUAUACAUUGUCUACAACAUAUAUCUUAAUAAUUUACAUUAGGUUUGUCUGUACACAACAAAAAGAGACUCGAUGUCCAGCGGAGAAACUCGAUGAAUGUACAUCUACUGAAUGCCAAGGCACCUACAAAGGGUCGACUGUAUAAAGACACCUUGACCUAGCUACCAGCUGUCUCGUGAUCUGAAAACAUGAAGUUGAAAACGGUGAGUAUAAACCUAGUGAGUGAACAAGGAAGGGAACAAGCAACAAUAAGAGAGAAUUUAAAAUCAUGAUGCACUUGUUUCAAAACAAUGCAAUUUAGUUCCAUUCAUAUUAAAAACCCCUCAUCAAGCCUUUAAAUGAUUAAUCAUUUGAAAAUCAUGAACCCAUACAUAAUGAACCAUUGAAGAAUGAAAGCUUUAAUAUUACGCAAGCAAGUCAAAUACGACAACGAAUCUUCGCUGCAGCGAAAAGGUAUUCUCGCUGCAGCGUGUAGCGACGUUGGGAUUAAGUUAUUAGCCAAACGAGGGUUUCUCAACUAGCCGAGGGUUUCUCACUAAACCUCCUCAUUUUAAACUUAACUUAUUUAGUCCUUAAUGUUGGAAGUCCAUGCUCAGAUAUAGUAGCAAAGAAGUUAAAAAUAGGGCAGCAAUUGGACAAGAUAGGAGACAAAACAAAAAGUUUUUCGUUGCUACGAGAUUCAAUCUCGUUGUAGCGAAAUUGUAACCCAGAAACAGAAGGUUUCUCGCUGCAGCGAGAUUGAAUCUCGUUGCAGCUAAAUUGUAACCCAAAAAUAGAAAGUUUCUCGCUGCAGCGAGAUUCAAUAUCGCUGCAACGAAAUUGUAACCCAGAAAUAGAAAGUUUCUCGCUGCAGCGAGAAUAAAUUUCACUGCAGCGAGAAGCUACAAUGUCAUUCUUGCUGCAGCAAAAAUGUAUUCUCGCUGCAGCGAGUUUUCGACCAGUCUACCCCUCCAAACCCGAGAGUUUCUCGCUGCAGCAAAAAUGAUUCUCGCUGCAGCGAGAAAUAGGGCACCAAUGAAAAAUUUACCCUUUUUCCCAAAGAAAAACCAUCCUACUGAAAUGUCCAAACCAACAUGAAACGCAUAACAAUUUUCCACAGUUUAACAUGUCAAGUUUCACAUGCAUUACAACCAUAUACCAUUACUCAUUAAUUUCCUAUAUCACACAUAUUUACAUAUGUAUAUAUGUAUAUGUAUACCCAUCAUCAUCAUGCACACCAUCCCAUCAUCAUCAUCACCAGCUCAUGCACACUCCCUACUCGCACAUGGCUGGGUCAUCACCGGGUUAUGCGCACUCCCUACUCGCACAUAACAGAGUCAUCCUUUGCUUAUGCGCACUCCCUACUCGCACAUAGCCGAGUCAAUGUCAUUACACAACAAUAUAUUCGUAUAUAUAUAUAUAUCAACACAAUGUGGUAGUGCAUGAAUCAAUAAUAGUCACAUGUCACAACAUAAACCAUUUCUCAAGAGCUUGUUCCCAAGGCACUCAUUUUUAAGAAAAGUUGUAUAAAAUCAUUCAAAUACUUUGUACAAAACAAUCACAUUCCCAAAAUAGUUUUGAUAGGCAAUCCACUCACCGGUAUAUUGUUGAGCCUUUAGCUGAAUUUAAUUCCCCUAAUGAUCCAAUUGGAAGGAUGGGACUUCAUUAGAACCUAGGAUCACAUUAGCAUAGGCAAUAGGUCAAUUCACACACUAUGAACCCUAAAAGCUAUCUCUUAGCUAGCUUUCAAUUGCCACAUUAAAUGGCUAUCUAUGUUCACUAUCUUAAUCACUAAAAAAGUAAUAAACAUACUCAACAAUAAAACAACUCAUAAUCCCAAUUACUAGCCACUAUUCACAGCUAAAAAUCAAGCUUAGUUCAUCACUUACCCUAGGGUUCCUUUGUAGUUGAAUUCUCUUCCAAUAGCUUCCACACAAAUGGGAUAAUUCUUUUUUUCUCUUUCUAGAAUGCCCAACUAGUGAGAGAAAGUAUGAAAAUAAGAUUUUCCAAGGGUUUUAAGGAGAGAGAGUGGAAGAAUACAAGGGUUCUAGUCAUAAGGGCUCAAAGGUAUGAAAACUAGAGCUAGAGAGAGAAAAUCAUGCGAGCUCCAUAUCAAGCUUCCAUGGAGGUUGGAAGCAACAUGAAAGGGAAGAAGGAGGAAGAAGAAGAAGCUGCUAGAAAAUGGGAGAAGAAGUGGCUGGAAGAAAGUAUUUAUAGCCAAUCUUAUCCAUUCCACUUAAAUUACUAAAAUGCCCCUCCACCAAUUAACUUACUCUCCGCCAACCCUUUAUGAAAUCUUUUUACUCCUUUGACACCGGGACAAGGUCCAUAAUGGUCUAGACAUAAAACUUAAAAUUUUAAUCCGAGGUGAAAAAUGACCGUUUUGCCCCUACCAUGAAAAUCAUCAAAAUUUUGGUUUCCUUUCCAUUUUAUCCUUAAUUUCACCAUCCAUUUAUGGCUUAGGCCUACUUAGGCCAUAAUAUUGCUUAAAAAUCUUACUUUUAUGGGCUUACUAAGGAAAUGACGAAAUUACCCCUGAUCAGGAAUAUCGUGUAUAUUACUAACUAUGAGUCUAUAAAGGUCAAGGUCUCACAAUAGCAUUAACAUCACUUCUAGUAAUUUCAAGAAGAUUGGUGAUUAAUCUGGGCCCAGUGAAUUGAUGAAUUAGCUACUCAUCACAUCUAGAUACUCAAAAGAUUAGAUCUAGAGUAUUGAAUCACUAAUUGGAUAAAAUUUGAGACUAAGGGAUAAAAUUGACGUAAAGGGUAAAAUGGUAAUUUCACCUUUUGUCAUUGGAUGGUUAUGAGGGUUCACAAUAUAAGGUUUGCAAUUGGACAACUAACAGUUAAUAUCAAGUAUUGAAUUGUUUCUUGUAAUUAUAGUUAAUCCAAGAGUGCAACCAUGAAUCUAUGGUGGAGUGAUUUCAUGGUUAAUAAGCUUGAAUUAUUUUUAAUGAGAUUAAGAAUAUUUCUAAGUUUAUUGGAGCUUGGAAUAUCUAUGCCCAAAUAGAUUCCCCACUUAGCUUCGUAGAAUUCAACUUGUUUAAGUUGGAAUGAAUGUUUUAAUUUGUUUUAUUAAGUUAUGUACAAAAUUGGCAACUUUGACAUGUUUGUCUUAAUUUAGACAAGAAAACAUGUUUGGUCUUAAUUUAGACAAGAAAAUAUGUUUGCCUUAAUUUAAGACAAGAAAAAUAUUUUUUGUCUUAAUUUAGUCAAGAAAACAUAUUUUUCUCAAUUUAGACAAGAUAAAAUAUUUUUUGUCUUAAUUACAGACAAGAGUUGUCUUAAAUUAAGAUAAUUUUAAGAGGAUUUUUGCAAAAUGAAUCUAGACAUCCAUGUUGAUAAAAAGAGACUUUUAUCAACUCCAUGUUUGACUAUUACUCUUUUAUUUAUUAUUAAUUUUUUUAAAAUAAAGAUGGAUUGUAACGACUCGGUACUCCCCUCGAGCCCAUGACAAUCGUCGCGGUGUCCCGGUAGAUACUCAUUGCCCGGAAUGUCAACUCGAAACCCCGCAAGGCUUUACUAUCAGUUUCUCAUUUCCCUUGUGAGCAACCAUUGUCAAAUAUUGUGUUCUAAAAGAUUUUAAACUGUUUCCAACUAAAAACAAAUAAAAUAUUAAUUUUCGACUCACAGGGGUAUUUUGGUCAUUUUUUUCUCAAAAAUUUUGAAACUGGCUAAAACGUAAUAUACAAGUACAAAACACAUAAUUCAUAUUCAAAAUGAGUUUAAAAGUCUAAAAUCUUCAUUUAAAACGAAAUUACAAUUAUUUGAAUAUAAUAAGAAAAUAAAAAAAUAUUAAGUAAAAUAUUCUAUUUUCUUACAAAACAAUAUUUAUAGAGUUAUACGUGAAUAAUUUUUACAGCAUAAAAGCUAAAUCAAUUUAUACAUACUGAAAUACAGUAAACCAAAAUAUUUAAUUUAAUUUACAAUAACAAGAGGGCCCCCGAAUAAACAAAAGUAAAGAGGACUGUGAACCUACAGUUUGGAAAAUGCAGAUCCAACGGUAGUCCUCGAUGAGAUCAGCUAUCUACAGCUUAUACUGAACCUGAAAUGGGUGGAAAGAAGGGUGGUGAGAUUAUAAAAUCCCAAUGAGUAAACAGACAUCAUCAUAAAUAUCUAGAGUUGAGUACAUGGAGACAAUAAAAUCAAUCAUCGUAAACUAGGUCACAGCAUUAGAAUACAUUUCAUUUAAAAUAUGUAAAGAGGCUUAUGAAUUUCAUAAAAACUAGACUUGUGCCAUAAAUCCAUUCUCAGGGACACCUUGGCCUAGGCAUCCUACCGAGACCGCCAAGGCUAUUAAAAUUCACAUUUCACAUAAAUCAUGUUUUUGUUUUGAAAACAUAGCCGUUCCUUGGCGUUGGCUGAGUUCCCCCUCACGUGGUGGUUUAGCGUGAAGUGAACUCUAAAAUUUACCCCAGGAGAUACCCUACGCCCCUCUCCAUUCUAGGUAAGAAUAUAAUGGGGUUUACUGUGCCCCUUUAAAAGGCUGGUCCACAGAAACCCCUUACUGCAGUGAUUAAUUAAUAUAUAAUCCACCAUACAACAAAACUCAAUAACAUGAUAUGGUAAUUUUGUAAUUCGCAGUCUUUCAAGGCAACCAAACAAUUCGUAUUUCAAUACAAUUGCCAACUAGCCAAUCAUGCCCGAUUUAUCAUAAGCCAAUCAAUUUAAAUAAUCAAAUUACCACAAUUAACAGUCUCCGUGUACUUUAUUUUUCAAAAUCAUUAUUAAUUUCAAAACAAUUUAUAAUUUAAUUUAAUUGAAACACAUUUAUUCAUAAAACAUGAAAUUUUACCUUUUUAAAUUCCUUUUUCCAUAGAAUUCAUGAAAUCCCCUCAAAACUACUCUAGAUAAUUAAAAUGACAGUAAGUUUACUCACAAUGUCUAGAAUGCAGACUUUCGACGCACUCUGUCUACUGGUCCUCGGAUGCAAUUUCCUUGCCUUUAUUGGAGGACUCACCACAUUGACACAGUACAAAAUCG